rnacentral:rRNA from 1 species
UACGUAAGGUGCGAGCGUUGUCCGGAAUUAUUGGGCGUAAAGGGCUCGUAGGCGGUUUGUCGCGUCGGGAGUGAAAACCUCGGGCUUAACUCGGGGCUUGCUUUCGAUACGGGCAGACUGGAGGUAUGCAGGGGAGAACGGAAUUCCUGGUAUAGCGGUGAAAUGCGCAGAUAUCAGGAGGAACACCGGUGGCGAAGGCGGUUCUCUGGGCAUGACCUGACGCUGAGGAGCGAAAGUGUGGGGAGCGAACAGG